GUCCUUGCCGUAAACAAUGUAUACUUGGUGUAACUGGACUCAACCCUAGUUGUGCCGAAGCUAACGCGUUAAGUAUACCGCCUGGGGAGUACGCUCGCAAGGGUGAAACUCAAAAGAAUUGACGGGGACCCGCACAAGCAGUGGAGCAUGUGGUUUAAUUCGAUGCAACGCGAAGAACCUUACCCAGUCUUGACAUGCAGUGGACGUUGGCAGAAAUGUCAAUUCCUUUCGGGGCCGCUGCACAGGUGCUGCAUGGCUGUCGU
rnacentral:rRNA from 1 species